rnacentral:rRNA from 1 species
GUCUAUAGCCAUGCCACCCUGAAGAAGCCCGACCUUGUCUGAUCUCGGAAGCUAAGCAGGGUUGGGCCUGGUUAGUACUUGGAUGGGAGACCACCUAGGAAGACUAGGUGCUGUAGGCG